GGAAGAGGAAGCAGGGUGCUCCCCUCCAUCCUGAAGGGGAUGCCAGCAACCAUGGAGGGGGUGAGGUGAGCCGCGCCUUUAAGCCUGGAGACUUGAGGACCGAGCCCAGAAAUGCAGGCAUCUGCAGAGGAGGACUCACUGGAGGGUGGCCCCCCAGUGCCCCCAGCAGAAGAGAUGGCAAAGAGCUCCUCAGAUCUAUGACAUUAGAGAGAUGAACGUCUUCUCAGCUAUAAUUGGAUAUUUUCAGUUCCUACUUGGUGUUUAUUAUAAACCCCAAGAAUGACUUCCUGAGUCUGGGAAGAACCAGAAGAGGCUGGAAUCUACCUGAUCUCUGUGGGAGAUGCUUUUGGUCCCAUAACAGAGAUUCAGAGACCAUAAGAUGAG
ensembl:lncRNA